rnacentral:rRNA from 1 species
AGAGUUUGAUCCUGGCUCAGGAUGAACGCUGGCGGCGUGGAUAAGGCAUGCAAGUCGAACGGGUUUUUCAUGUUCAAAAAUUGAGAUUAUAUCAAGAUUCUAGAUUUUGAAAAACUAGUGGCGAACGAGGUAGUAACACGUGGGUACGUCCCCCAAAGUCGUGAACAACACACCGAAAGGUGUGCUAAUACACGAUGGUCCCUCCGGGGUAAAGUUUUAACGCUUUGGGAACGGCCUGCGAGAUAUCAGCUAGUUGGUAAGGUAAUGGCUUACCAAGGCUAUGACGUCUAGGGGAGCUGAGAGGCUGACCCCCACCGAUGGGACUGAGACACGGCCCAUACACCUACGGGUGGCUGCAGUCGAGAAUCUUCCGCAAUGGACGAAAGUCUGACGGAGCGACGCCGCGUGAUUGAUGAAGCCCCUAUGGGGCGUAAAGAUCUUUUAUGAGGGAAGAAGUUUAUUGACGGUACCUCAUGAAUAAGAGGCUCCUAAUCUCGUGCCAGCAGGAGCGGUAAUACGAGAGCCUCGAGCGUUAUCCGGAAUUAUUGGGCGUAAAGGGUGAGUAGGUUGCGUUGUUAGUCGAAUGUUAAAGCCCCGAGCUUAACUUGGGAAUCGCAUUCGAAACGGCAAUGCUUGAGGAUAGAAGGGGUGUGCAGAACUCAUGGUGUAGGGGUGAAAUCCGUUGAUAUCAUGGGGAAUACCAAAAGCGAAGGCAGCACACUGGUCUAUAUCUGACACUGAAUCACGAAAGCGUGGGUAGCGAAUGGGAUUAGAUACCCCAGUAGUCCACGCCCUAAACGAUGAUCUCUAGCUUUUCGGAGUAUCGACCCUCUGAGAGGCGUAGCUAACGCGUUAAGAGAUCCGCCUGGGAAGUACGAUCGCAAGAUUAAAACUCAAAGGAAUUGACGG